GCCCUACGGGAGGCAGCAGUGGGGGAUAUUGCACAAUGGGGGGAACCCUGAUGCAGCGACGCCGCGUGGGCGAUGGAGUACUUCGGUAUGUAAAGCCCUAUCAGCAGGGAAGAAAAUGACGGUACCUGACUAAGAAGCCCCGGCUAAAUACGUGCCAGCAGCCGCGGUAAUACGUAUGGGGCAAGCGUUAUCCGGAUUUACUGGGUGUAAAGCGAGUGCAGGCGGUUCAAUAAG
rnacentral:rRNA from 1 species